rnacentral:rRNA from 1 species
CCUACGGGAGGCAGCAGUGAGGAAUAUUGGUCAAUGGGCGGGAGCCUGAACCAGCCAAGUAGCGUGAAGGAUGACUGCCCUAAGGGUUGUAAACCUCUUUUAUCAAGGAAUAAAGUGAGGCACGUGUGCCUUUUUGUAUGUACUUUAUGAAUAAGGAUCGGCUAACUCCGUGCCAGCAGCCGCGGUAAUACGGAGGAUCCGAGCGUUAUCCGGAUUUAUUGGGUUUAAAGGGAGCGUAGGUGGGUUGUUAAGUCAGUUGUGAAAGUUUGCGGCUCAACCGUAGAAUUGCAGUUGAUACUGGCAGCCUUGAGUAGAGUAGAGGUAGGCGGAAUGCGUGGUGUAGCGGUGAAAUGCUUAGAUAUCACGAAGAACUCCGAUUGCGAAGGCAGCUUAC